rnacentral:lncRNA from 1 species
CGACUUCGACUAUCGUACAUAUUAGCUCUUGGAUGAAGGGAUGUGAGGUUAGAAUUGAUAGUGAUUCCCUAAAGUUCAGUGGAUAAUUGGUUGAAUAGUAUAAUCUAAUGAGUGAAAAUGAUUUAAGGAGUAAAUCUAACGGUUGAAAACUCGAUAAUACUAAACGCUUAGGGUCUGUUUGUUUGUACGAAAGUGGGAUGAAAGUGGGAAGGGGGAAGUAAUUUUCGGUGAAAACUAAUCACUUCCGUUGUUUGUUUCACCGUAAUUUUAUUACGCCCGAAAGUCCAGUUCACCCAAAAAGGUGAAAUUGACUUCGCCCUCCCACGGGGGCGAAGUCAAUUUCGGUAAAGUUGAAAAUAAAGCAAGAGUGGGUAAUGUGUUAGGUAAGUUUUAAUAUAUUUUGGUUAGGUAAGUUUUAAUAUAUUUUUUGUUUAAUUUGUAUAUUUAGAAAAUGAUGAAAAAUAAAUUUGUUAAAUGUUAAUAAUUUUUUAACUUUAGAAUUUUAUUUGUUG